rnacentral:rRNA from 1 species
CAGUCGCCGCGGUAAUACAGAGGAUGCAAGCGUUAUCCGGUAUGAUUGGGCGUAAAGUGUCUAUAGGUGGCUUUUCAAGUCCGCCGUCGAAUCCCAGGGCUCAACCGUGGACAGGCGGUGGAAACUACCAAGCUGGAGUACGGUAGGGGCAGAGGGAAUUUCCGAUGGAGCGGUGAAAUGCGUUGAGAUCGGGAAGAACACCAACGGAGAAAGCACUCUGCUGGGCCGACACUGACACUGAGAGACGAAAUCUAGGGGAGUAAAUGGGAUUAGAUACCCCCGUAGUCCCUGUCUCUUAUAC